UACAGAGGGUGCAAGCGUUAAGCGGAAUUACUGGGCGUAAAGCGUGCGUAGAAGGUUAUGGAAGGGGGGGGGGAAAGCCCCGGGCUCAACCUGGGAAUGCCAUUCGAGACUGCAUAGCUAGGGUGCGGAAGAGGGAAGCGGAAUUUCAGGUGUAGCGGUGAAAUGCGUAGAUAUCUGAAGGAACACCAGUGGCGAAAGCGGCUUCCUGGUCCAGCACCGACUUUCAGGCACGAAAGCGUGGGGAGCAAACAGG
rnacentral:rRNA from 1 species